rnacentral:rRNA from 1 species
CACAUGCAAGUCGAGCGGGGUGAUGUAGCUUGCUACAUGACCUAGCGGCGGACGGGUGAGUAAUACUUAGGAAUCUGCCUAUUAGUGGGGGACAACAUUUCGAAAGGAAUGCUAAUACCGCAUACGCCCUACGGGGGAAAGCAGGGGAUCUUCGGACCUUGCGCUAAUAGAUGAGCCUAAGUCAGAUUAGCUAGUUGGUGGGGUAAAGGCCUACCAAGGCGACGAUCUGUAGCGGGUCUGAGAGGAUGAUCCGCCACACUGGGACUGAGACACGGCCCAGACUCCUACGGGAGGCAGCAGUGGGGAAUAUUGGACAAUGGGGGGAACCCUGAUCCAGCCAUGCCGCGUGUGUGAAGAAGGCCUUUUGGUUGUAAAGCACUUUAAGCGAGGAGGAGGCUCCUAUAGUUAAUACCUAUAGUGAGUGGACGUUACUCGCAGAAUAAGCACCGGCUAACUCUGUGCCAGCAGCCGCGGUAAUACAGAGGGUGCGAGCGUUAAUCGGAUUUACUGGGCGUAAAGCGUGCGUAGGUG